UCCCCCUUCCUUAGCCACCUCAACCACCGUUUUCGGCUUCACCAAUACCCGAACAAGUAACAAUUAUUCUGGGGUUGAUUAGUCCAUCAAAAGCGUGGUUCUUGAGGCAUUCUUUGUAGGUCACAAAGACGGUGUGGUGGUGGUGGGUGGCGAAGCUCCGGUGGUGGUGGUGGUGCAGGGGAUUAUGACGCUUGACGACACCGUUGGUGCUAAAAGACAAGGGCUUUGAAUGGUGGAGAAGGCGUGUGGCAGUCUCAGUUUCAGCUAUCUGAGGUUGCAGGUGCACCUCCAAGUCUCCAACUGCGAAGCCUACUAGAAUAGAGCCAUGCAAACAAGCUAUUUGUGAAAAUGCCAAGGUGACAAAUACGAUUGGUAGCAAAGGAUUUGCCAAGAAUGUGAGUAAUCAGACUAUCCUUGAGAAUCCUAGGCUGGAAACCAAGGGGUAGGAUUCAGAAAAAACCAAGCCAAUCAGUGGAACAUGGCAAAGAAGGUGACCUCCCUGUUCAUCGGAGAUACAAGCAGAGCUGAGGGAAGAAUCUUUGAUGGCCUUCCACAGCCAUCAAUUUCAUAAAAGGAGGUCACUGUUGCUUACAACAAUGAUCCUAGCCCACUAAAGCUGAAUUUGGGCGUUGGCGCUUAUCGGAAGGGAAGCCCCUUGUUCUUAAUGUGGUGAGGUGGGCUGAGGAAAUAAUGCUUGUAAGCAAUAAGUCUCGUGUGAAUUGAAAGAGUAUCCACCCAUCACUAGACUGGCCGACUUUAACAAACUGAGUGCAAAGCUAAUAUUUGGUGCUAAUAGUUUUCGAACCAACGGUUGACUCUUUCGUUUCUUGGAGGUUUUGUUCGGUGAAGUCGACGGGCUGGUUGGGAUGUUGCGUACGCCGCCUUUCUUCACACUAAAGUGGUUGGACGGUCGACGAUGGUGUUGUUUAAGCUUUUGGCGUUGUCUUACUGAUGGACAGAGGCAGUCGUGCAUGUCCCCGGCGGAGACGGAUUUAUAGUCGCCCCCUCGGACCAGAUCCUUCUUUUAUUUUCUUUUCUUUUUUCUUUUCGUUGAUUUUAUUGUUUACUGAAUGGUUUUUGAUUUUAAUAUCUACCAAUUAAUAUCAAUAAUGAAUACCAGCACUGGGUUUCCA